CGCCCCGUGACUGUGAUAAAGACGGGGCGGGGCGGGGCGGGGCGGACCGCCUGCGCCGGGACCCGCGGAGCGGUGGCGGUCGGCACGGUUGUUGGGUUCUCUUCCGGGCUGUGCAGUAACGGGAGCUCGCCUCGGGGCAGCUAUGAUGUCUACUCCUAAUACUCUAGUUUUGACAGCGAUUGAUUUAUCAAAAGCCCAGACUGUUGCAAAUAACUGGGGCUUGCAAGGAGAAAGAGCUGAAAUCAACAGGAGCUUCAAUGCAGAGCUGAGCAGCAAGCAGGAGCUGGAGGGAGAUGGGGUGUCUGCUAAUUCCCUGGAGCUGUGAGGAGCAGGAGAUGUGCUGAGCUGGGAGGUCCCGUCACUGGAGUCCCCGUGGUCCGAAUGCGCCCCGCUCCAGCCCGGCUGAAGAGCGACCGGGCACAGGCAGGGCUGGCCCCGGCAAGGACCUCUGAGAGCGGAGAGGUGAGUUGGCCUUUGCCGCGGGGAUUAUAUCCAGGCCACGCAUCUCUGUCUGCGUGGAGGGGAUCUCCCGGCCCUGUUCCUGAGGACAGAAGCGAGGUGAGAAUCCCCCAGCUCUUCUGGUGCAGCCCUGCUGCAAGGAGGGUGCGGGCUGAGUGGUCAUCAUUUCCUCGGUACCUGGCAGAGGGGAGAGAACCUGGCUGGUCAGAGCUCCCGAGGUGCCCGGUUGGGACCCGCGUGACCCUUGGGCAGAAUCCUCCCCUGGUUUUUCACUGCAGGCUGGGUGUGACAAACGGGCUAAUUUUAUGCCUUUCCUUUUCACAGAUGCACCUUCUGCAUCACGUGAAGAAAGUUCUGCAUCGUUUAUUCCAUUUGCUGCUCAGGUGAUCACACAUACAGGGCUGGGGGAGUGGGGAGAAACAUUUGUGAGUUCAGAGAUACUACGGAUACUUUGCAUCAAACCAGCAGGAAAGGCAAACCUGCUGCCAUUGCAGAAAAGCUGAUGAAAAAUGGCUUUUAAUAGAACAUUAGUUGGUCCCUUCCUAGUGAUGAACGUUUUCCUUUCCAGUAAAAGAAUGAACUUUUGCCUGUGAUAAUUAACAGCUGCUUGUUACCCUCUUUAAGGUUAAGUGUUUCUCUUCUGUUUGCUCAUACUAAUUUUAUGAGCAAGUUGGAAAUAACCUUUUAUUUUCAUAUGCAUAACUAAAUUUCUAGUAAUAUGUGGUGUCAAUAUAGUUAAUUUUUGCACACCUAGGUGCCAGUAGAAAUGUAAUGAAUAAAACACAACGAGAAGUGAUGUUUAAACUUGAUUUAUAUUUGAGAUUUUUUUUUUUUUUAAUUAAGAAUGUUGGUGACAUGUUGCCCUGUGGCACAAUCCACAUUAUGUUCUGCGGAGCAUUCAAUCUAGGACUUUUAGGUAAAAAAGUUUUUCCUUCAAAAAAAAGGACCAGUCAUUCAUAAGAUUGAGGUGUAGACUUGUACACUUAAGUACAUGAUCAGAAUUAAAUUUAAAUUUCACUUAA